rnacentral:tRNA from 3 species
GCCGAUGUAGCUCAGCUGGGUAGAGCGGCGCAUUCGUAAUGCGUAGGUCUGGGGUUCAAAUCCCCACAUUGGCACCA